AAAUUGAAGAGUUUGAUCAUGGCUCAGAUUGAACGCUGGCGGCAGGCCUAACACAUGCAAGUCGAGCGGUAGCACAGAGAGCUUGCUCUCGGGUGACGAGCGGCGGACGGGUGAGUAAUGUCUGGGAAACUGCCUGAUGGAGGGGGAUAACUACUGGAAACGGUAGCUAAUACCGCAUAAUGUCGCAAGACCAAAGUGGGGGACCUUCGGGCCUCAUGCCAUCAGAUGUGCCCAGAUGGGAUUAGCUAGUAGGUGGGGUAAUGGCUCACCUAGGCGACGAUCCCUAGCUGGUCUGAGAGGAUGACCAGCCACACUGGAACUGAGACACGGUCCAGACUCCUACGGGAGGCAGCAGUGGGGAAUAUUGCACAAUGGGCGCAAGCCUGAUGCAGCCAUGCCGCGUGUGUGAAGAAGGCCUUCGGGUUGUAAAGCACUUUCAGCGGGGAGGAAGGCGUUAAGGUUAAUAACCUUGGCGAUUGACGUUACCCGCAGAAGAAGCACCGGCUAACUCCGUGCCAGCAGCCGCGGUAAUACGGAGGGUGCAAGCGUUAAUCGGAAUUACUGGGCGUAAAGCGCACGCAGGCGGUCUGUCAAGUCGGAUGUGAAAUCCCCGGGCUCAACCUGGGAACUGCAUUCGAAACUGGCAGGCUAGAGUCUUGUAGAGGGGGGUAGAAUUCCAGGUGUAGCGGUGAAAUGCGUAGAGAUCUGGAGGAAUACCGGUGGCGAAGGCGGCCCCCUGGACAAAGACUGACGCUCAGGUGCGAAAGCGUGGGGAGCAAACAGGAUUAGAUACCCUGGUAGUCCACGCCGUAAACGAUGUCGAUUUGGAGGUUGUGCCCUUGAGGCGUGGCUUCCGGAGCUAACGCGUUAAAUCGACCGCCUGGGGAGUACGGCCGCAAGGUUAAAACUCAAAUGAAUUGACGGGGGCCCGCACAAGCGGUGGAGCAUGUGGUUUAAUUCGAUGCAACGCGAAGAACCUUACCUGGUCUUGACAUCCACAGAACUUUCCAGAGAUGGAUUGGUGCCUUCGGGAACUGUGAGACAGGUGCUGCAUGGCUGUCGUCAGCUCGUGUUGUGAAAUGUUGGGUUAAGUCCCGCAACGAGCGCAACCCUUAUCCUUUGUUGCCAGCGGUUCGGCCGGGAACUCAAAGGAGACUGCCAGUGAUAAACUGGAGGAAGGUGGGGAUGACGUCAAGUCAUCAUGGCCCUUACGACCAGGGCUACACACGUGCUACAAUGGCAUAUACAAAGAGAAGCGACCUCGCGAGAGCAAGCGGACCUCAUAAAGUAUGUCGUAGUCCGGAUUGGAGUCUGCAACUCGACUCCAUGAAGUCGGAAUCGCUAGUAAUCGUAGAUCAGAAUGCUACGGUGAAUACGUUCCCGGGCCUUGUACACACCGCCCGUCACACCAUGGGAGUGGGUUGCAAAAGAAGUAGGUAGCUUAACCUUCGGGAGGGCGCUUACCACUUUGUGAUUCAUGACUGGGGUGAAGUCGUAACAAGGUAACCGUAGGGGAACCUGCGGUUGGAUCACCUCCUUA
rnacentral:rRNA from 1 species